rnacentral:rRNA from 1 species
GAACGCUGGCGGCGUGCCUAAUACAUGCAAGUCGAACGCACAGCGAAAGGUGCUUGCACCUUUCAAGUGAGUGGCGAACGGGUGAGUAACACGUGGACAACCUGCCUCAAGGCUGGGGAUAACAUUUGGAAACAGAUGCUAAUACCGAAUAAAACUUAGUGUCGCAUGACACAAAGUUAAAAGGCGCUUCGGCGUCACCUAGAGAUGGAUCCGCGGUGCAUUAGUUAGUUGGUGGGGUAAAGGCCUACCAAGACAAUGAUGCAUAGCCGAGUUGAGAGACUGAUCGGCCACAUUGGGACUGAGACACGGCCCAAACUCCUACGGGAGGCUGCAGUAGGGAAUCUUCCACAAUGGGCGAAAGCCUGAUGGAGCAACGCCGCGUGUGUGAUGAAGGCUUUCGGGUCGUAAAGCACUGUUGUAUGGGAAGAACAGCUAGAAUAGGAAAUGAUUUUAGUUUGACGGUACCAUACCAGAAAGGGACGGCUAAAUACGUGCCAGCAGCCGCGGUAAUACGUAUGUCCCGAGCGUUAUCCGGAUUUAUUGGGCGUAAAGCGAGCGCAGACGGUUUAUUAAGUCUGAUGUGAAAGCCCGGAGCUCAACUCCGGAAUGGCAUUGGAAACUGGUUAACUUGAGUGCAGUAGAGGUAAGUGGAACUCCAUGUGUAGCGGUGGAAUGCGUAGAUAUAUGGAAGAACACCAGUGGCGAAGGCGGCUUACUGGACUGCAACUGACGUUGAGGCUCGAAAGUGUGGGUAGCAAACAGGAUUAGAUACCCUGGUAGUCCACACCGUAAACGAUGAACACUAGGUGUUAGGAGGUUUCCGCCUCUUAGUGCCGAAGCUAACGCAUUAAGUGUUCCGCCUGGGGAGUACGACCGCAAGGUUGAAACUCAAAGGAAUUGACGGGGACCCGCACAAGCGGUGGAGCAUGUGGUUUAAUUCGAAGCAACGCGAAGAACCUUACCAGGUCUUGACAUCCUUUGAAGCUUUUAGAGAUAGAAGUGUUCUCUUCGGAGACAAAGUGACAGGUGGUGCAUGGUCGUCGUCAGCUCGUGUCGUGAGAUGUUGGGUUAAGUCCCGCAACGAGCGCAACCCUUAUUGUUAGUUGCCAGCAUUCAGAUGGGCACUCUAGCGAGACUGCCGGUGACAAACCGGAGGAAGGCGGGGACGACGUCAGAUCAUCAUGCCCCUUAUGACCUGGGCUACACACGUGCUACAAUGGCGUAUACAACGAGUUGCCAACCCGCGAGGGUGAGCUAAUCUCUUAAAGUACGUCUCAGUUCGGAUUGUAGUCUGCAACUCGACUACAUGAAGUCGGAAUCGCUAGUAAUCGCGGAUCAGCACGCCGCGGUGAAUACGUUCCCGGGUCUUGUACACACCGCCCGUCACACCAUGGGAGUUUGUAAUGCCCAAAGCCGGUGGCCUAACCUUUUAGGAAGGAGCCGUCUAAGGCAGGACAGAUGACU